ACCAGAUCACAUUCAAACACUGGUUCUCAUCCGAUUACUGAAUUUAAGCAACAUUGAGCCUGGUCAGUACCUAGAUGGGUGACUGCUUGAGAAUACCAGGUGCUAUA